AGAUCUUCUACCUACAUUAAGCAAGACAGUCAUGCAGCUGUAGAAAAUGCAGCAGAGGGGAAGGCCACAGGAUCAGUGGGCAGCCUGGCAUCAUGAUUAAGUGGAGAUACCAUCACAGGGAACACCUGAGACUUAGAGCUACACACAACAGGCUGUGCGGUGAUGUGCUGGGCAACAGAACAUCGAUUUCGACGUCAAAAGACCUUCAUAGUGCUUCCGAAUUCUGACUUACCUUAGGCAAGUGCCUGAACCAAUGGGUUCCUCAGUUUCUCCUUUCUGUUGGAAUUGGGUAAUGUUGAUAUUCACCAACCUGCUCUGCAGCAUAAAAGUCUAAUGGCAAUGUCUUUCCUUUUGUGAAGCACCAACCACUGAAGUUCAUUUUGGAAUCAUGGCCACCCAGAAGAGGAAAGGGGUGAUCAUGUGUCUCAAAGAAGAGAUAACUUUGAGGGAGAGGAUGAAAACUGCAAAGACCCUUGGGAUUAAAUGAAAUCUGCUGAUUCUACUCUUUUUUCAUGAAUUUCUGUAUGAUAUUUAGCAAUUAGAAUGUUUGACUGGCAAUGGCCAGGUAGAUUUCACCAUUAUGUAACAAAGAGAAUAAAAAAG
rnacentral:lncRNA from 1 species